rnacentral:misc_RNA from 1 species
GAUGAAGAACGUAGCGAAAUGCGAUAAGUAAUGUGAAUUGCAGAAUUCAGUGAAUCAUCGAAUCUUUGGACGCACAUUGCGCCCGCCAGUAUUCUGGCGGGCAUGCCUGUUCGAGCGUCAUUACAACCCUCAGGCCCCCGGGCCUGGCGUUGGGGAUCGGCGGAGCCCCCCGUGGGCACACGCCGUCCCCCAAAUGCAGUGGCGGUCCCGCCGCAGCUUCCAUCGCGUAGUAGCUAACACCUCGCGACUGGAGAGCGGCGCGGCCACGCCGUAAAACACCCAACUCUUCUGAAGUUGACCUCGAAUCAGGUAGGAAUACCCGCUGAACUUAAGCAUAUCAAUAAGCGGAGGA